rnacentral:rRNA from 1 species
GAUGAACGCUGGCGGCGUGCCUAAUACAUGCAAGUCGAGCGAACAGACGAGGAGCUUGCUCCUCUGACGUUAGCGGCGGACGGGUGAGUAACACGUGGAUAACCUACCUAUAAGACUGGGAUAACUUCGGGAAACCGGAGCUAAUACCGGAUAAUAUAUUGAACCGCAUGGUUCAAUAGUGAAAGACGGUUUUGCUGUCACUUAUAGAUGGAUCCGCGCCGCAUUAGCUAGUUGGUAAGGUAACGGCUUACCAAGGCAACGAUGCGUAGCCGACCUGAGAGGGUGAUCGGCCACACUGGAACUGAGACACGGUCCAGACUCCUACGGGAGGCAGCAGUAGGGAAUCUGCCGCAAUGGGCGAAAGCCUGACGGAGCAACGCCGCGUGAGUGAUGAAGGUCUUCGGAUCGUAAAACUCUGUUAUUAGGGAAGAACAAAUGUGUAAGUAACUAUGCACGUCUUGACGGGACCUAAUCAGAAAGCCACGGCUAACUACGU